rnacentral:rRNA from 1 species
CAGUCGCCGCGGUAAUACGGAGGGUGCAAGCGUUACUCGGAAUCACUGGGCGUAAAGGACGCGUAGGCGGAUUAUCAAGUCUCUUGUGAAAUCUAACGGCUUAACCGUUAAACUGCUUGGGAAACUGAUAAUCUAGAGUAAGGGAGAGGCAGAUGGAAUUCUUGGUGUAGGGGUAAAAUCCGUAGAUAUCAAGAAGAAUACCUAUUGCGAAGGCGAUCUGCUGGAACUUAACUGACGCUAAUGCGUGAAAGCGUGGGGAGCAAACAGGAUUAGAUACCCCCGUAGUCCCUGUCUCUUAUAC